rnacentral:rRNA from 1 species
UACAGAGGGUGCGAGCGUUAAUCGGAAUUACUGGGCGUAAAGCGUGCGUAGACGGUCAAGUAAGUCGGGUGUGAAAGCCCACGGCUCAACCGUGGAAUCGCACUCGAGACUGAAGGGCUCGAGGACGGGAGAGGAUGGUGGAAUUCCCAGUGUAGAGGUGAAAUUCGUAGAUAUUGGGAAGAACACCGGUGGCGAAGGCGGCCAUCUGGACCGUAUCUGACGCUGAGGCGCGAAAGCGUGGGGAGCAAACAGG